GGCACAGCUGAGGCUUUCUUAGGCACACAGGGAUUUGCAAUACAAAAGAGAGGCACAGAAGGAGAGGGGGCUGCUUCGUUUGAACUAGAAGCCAGGAUUUGAUUUUAUUUAUUUAUUUAUUUUUAGCUUAGUGAGACCUUCCAGUAAUCAAACGCCCUGUAGCACCAGGACAGAAGUACUGAUAGAGAAAAGCUGGCUUGCUGCCUCCUUAGGGCUGGCUGUGGUGCUUAUGUGGCAGAAUCUGAUCAGAGAGGUAUGUGAAGCUCCACUGCUCUAUUCCAGCAGAGACCUGGUCUCAGGGAAACAACCCAGCUCUGUAUGUCAACCUGCCACACUGAAUGAUGUGUGGAGCCCGAGCUCGUAUGGGCAGCAAAACAGGACAUGCCAUCAAGACCACAAGAGCAAGUGUUGUCUCUGAGGUGCUUCAGUUUUCUGCAUCUAACCGCAGCCAGAGCUACCUUUAACACCAUCAAAGAGCCUGGCCAGCUGGGGAGAAAGGAAAGGGGUGUGGGUGCUGUGAGGUUCUUCACAGCUGGGGGAAAAGAAAAUACCAGAGGCUAUUAGAAGGAAAUCUGUACUUAAUACCCUGUGGGCUCGAGUGGUUUAACUUCUUACUUUUUUAUAUCUGUGAAAGAAAGUGUAAAAGACUUUUAAAUGGUGGAUUUUAUAGUGGUUUGCAUUAAUAUUUAACAGGAAAACCCUUGUUUGCAUAUUGAUAUUUGAUUGUGUAACGCUAUAAAUGUUUUUAUUAAUAUGUGUUCCCAUUCUUGGCUUGAGAUAUUGCUUUCCACCCCUCUUGGCUUCUGAGCUAAUUAGAGAGGGAACCCAUGGUGUGUUUAAAAAACAAGUGAAAACCAACAGCCCUUCUUUAAGAGAAUGGAGAAAGAUACUGGGACAUUAACAAAGCAUGGGAAGAAGCAUUUUAGAGGGUGUUAAAGCAGUAGUAAUAGGCUAGGGCCAGCAAGGAAGAUCAUAAAAUUAAUGUAGGACUUAUAUGGCUAGAAAGAAAUUGAAGAGGUGAUUUGAUCCAUGUGUCUGCUAUGAAAAAUAAUCUGAUAUACCUGAAUCUAGACCAUCCCAAGAGUUAAGUGCUUGCCAAACCUGUUCCUGAAGGCUCCAUCUGAUGGCAUAAUCCACACAGUCUGUUCUAAAGCUGAACUUUCCUUGUAACUGGUCUCACCUGACGCUAUGCCAAAAAUGCAAUACGUGACUAGGUGUGACAGGCAAGGCAGCUUCUCUGGGGAAUAUCAGUGGUAUGGUUUGGCCCAGAAUGGGGAACCUUGAGGACACUGCUGCCUGAGAGGAGGCAAACUCAUAACAAACCCUCUGUAGAGUUGGUAGCAAUGCAAGAGUUAUGAAAAGGAAAGUAUUGAUGUUCAAUUUGCAUUUAAUAAGAAAAUAUAAAUCCUAAAACUGUCUGGAGUGGAGCAGAUAAAUGAGUUGUGGAGGAGCUUGAUGUGGUCAGAGUCAAGGGACAGACUGAUUCUAUAGUAGACAUCAUAGUGAGAAAGGGGAUGUGCUCCCGUGGCUGGACAAUGAAAAACAAACUGACAGCUGUGCUCUUACAUCUCAUUGGCAGUGUUUGAAUCUCUGGAGCUUUCUAUAUGUAUGUAUGGACACAUGUGGAUGCAGAUGCACGCUCCACCUUCCACCCUGAGCCUAUUCCUAUCAAAUAUUCAUCAGAGGAAGAUUUUCAUCUGUACACUUUAUAUUAUUCAAGCUUAGGAGUAUUUUGUCUUGCCUACAGGAUUUAGAUACCAGGGAUAAAACAGAAGCCUCUUUAAUUUUCUACACUUAGGAUUUCUGCUUCAUUAAAAAUUCUUUUGAAGAUUAGUCUUAAUGAUAGAUCUUUAACUUGGAGUCUUUCUCCCAGGAAAAAUAUGCUCACAGCAGAAAACAGAUGAACCCACUCCCGAGAAAUCUCUGCAGUUUGACCAUCAGCCAUGGGUGGAUAACAUAGGUAGAGCUCUUUCUUUUCAACUUUUGCCUUACUCCAAAGGGCCUGCACUUAACCCCAGUGUGUAAUAGAUUGCUGCUGCUUCCAUGUGUUCCCCCAGGAUUAAAAAAGGAGUGUUCUCCUCGGAGUAAUUCCUUCUGAUGCACUGAAACAGAACAGAGAAUCCUGAGCCAGUUUGAACUAAGUUUUAAACUGUUAAUAUUCAGUACUUGUUUUUACAUGCCAAAACUUGAUUUUUGUUAUAGAACCUGACUUUUCAGAGACUGCAAAGCACCUAAUGCUCAGCUUAGAUGCUAAGAAUGCUUCCCUUCCUCUGAAAGGCAGGUGUGCUAUUCAUUGCCAUAAAACUUGAAUUUAGAUCUAGGGUCAGGCAAUAGAUGGUCCCAAAUUUACUGAGAAACAUGAUGCUACUUUUGGCAUUUUAUAAAGGAGCAUGCAGAGAUUUUGGAGAGGUUAAACUCAGCUAUCAUGUUUGAUUACUUGUUAGCAAACAAACCAGGAUGUUGGGCAUAAAGGACAACAGUUAUAGUAGCCAUGUACACAAAGGGUUCAGAUUUUGUCACUUCUCAUGCUCUUCUUUGCCAAAAGAGUAUCAUUGGGUGAGUGAUAUAUAACCUUGUGCACAGCUUCCUCUCUACUGAAGUUGGUAGAGUAAGGCUGCGUUAUAUCGGUUACUGGUACUCGUUAACAAAAAUCCCAACUGAGACAGGCUUGGUUCUGAACACAGCCUGGGCUGUCUGAUUCCCAAGGACAUAGACUUUGGCUGGCACUGGGGAUGGUGCUUGGCAUCUUCCUUUUCAUUUGCUUUCUUUAAAAAAUAAAUAAAUCACUAUUUCUGGCUUCUGGGGGAAACAAAUCUGAAGCACAUCACUCUCUGAUAGGAAACAGAUGGAUAAUUACAUUGCUGCUUUUUCAAAAAUCACUUGCCAUAAGGACCCCCCGGGAAAGAUGGGCAGACUUGCUUUACAGACUGCUCUGAGGAGCUCUUGGGUUAUUGUUAGUGCUUAGCAAAAUUUCUCUAACUUUAUCCGCCUAUGUUGGAGUCUGCUGUGAUUAUAUCCCACUGGUUUUGCAUUAUCAAAUCUUACUCUACUUUAGUAGAAGCAUUAAAAAGAUAUAAGCUAGUCAAGUGUUCUUAAUAUUCAGUAGUUAAAGCAGACUGACGUGUGGUUCUUUUUUUUUUGAUCUGAAGAAAAUGAAAGCUAUUAGAGCAAUGUUUAUUUUAAGCUACAAGCAAAAGGUAUGAGCUUAGAUGCUCCUAAGCUAUCUGUCUGCACAUCUUGUGGACAAGCUCCAGGAAGACAAAGAGCUCUGAGCCUCAGUGGUUGUCAUUAAAUCUCCCCUCAUAAUGUGCCUACCCUACCUGUGUAUUUGUCUGAGGUUUGGGAGCUGGUGUUCUGAAUAUAUGUGUAUAUGUACUAAGAGUUGUCCAGUUUUUCUGUAACUCUCUGUGCAGUAGAUUUUUUUUGGUACCAAGAUCUUGGCAUGAAAGAAGAGUUAAAUUCUCAUAGUGGCAGGGAAAAAAAAUCCAUGAGCACACCGCAGAGGUCCUCCUUUGUGAGCAACAUUUCAAGUUGUGCUGCUGAGAGCUGAUGACAAGCUGAUGUGGUAAUGCCCAAAAGCUGCCAAAGCUUCACACAGGCAGGCUCCUGCCAUGGAAGAGCUCCAAAAGCUCCUUGCCUUUGUCUCUUGAUCAGAGCUAACCGGAGGUGAACAGCACCACACAGCUGCCGUGUAUGCCAUGGGCCAAUUAGUGAAUGGAGAUAGCAAAGUGCCCCAGGUGAAGCUAGCCUUUCAAUGAGGAUGAAAUCUAGAGUGAAAUAAAAAGAUUAAACAGGUGGUAUAAAAAAUAGUUUAGGCAGGACUCAUCUUGUUGACCAUCAGAUGUCUGCAGUGGAGAAUCAGAGGUACAUCAGAGGUGGUCAGCCAGGCUGCUUUUGGCACCUGCAGAUUUGCAGGAUGCUUGCAGUAGAAGAUCCCUGGGAGCUGGAUGUCUCCUGCAGAAGAAAACACAGCAUCCCCUGCCCGUGCAGCACAGACUCUCUAAAGCCUUGGCAGUAGAGCUGGAAGCACCCCAGCACCACUGGGAUGUGUGGGAGGGGGUGAAAACAAUGAAGCAGCUUCUGAUGGUUUAAUUUCCAUUAGGUCUUUCAUGAAAGGACUUCAGUAUGCUUUACAUUGAGAUUGGAAGAGACUGUUGUUAAUUAAAUAAUUAGCUGUUUAAAAUGUAUUUAUUAAGGCUUAACAGCCAGGCCACAGAUAUGUAUCAGUUACAGAGCCACAAUAUCAGCAAUAAAUGUUUUUCACCCCAUAAUCAAAUAUGGUUUAAUUAGGCAAUGCUGGGAGAACAGUUGCAAUAAAUAGUGGGUAAUACUUGCCUUUAUAAUUGAGAUUUAAUCAGCCAACUCUUGUAUGUUCAUUGAAUAAUUGAUUAUUCUGCGCAUUUAUCAAGGAUUAAAAACUCAGUGGUA